CAAGUCGUCUGGGCCUGGACUCCCCUGAAAGGAGGCAGCAAUCCUGUGACAGUUUGAAACUCUGCUGCCUAGGUCAAAGGGAGACAAGAAAGAAGAGGAUCAACUGACACUAGAAACAUCUUUCCCUCAAAGAUUCAUUUUUCCUUGAUUCUCUUCAGCUGUAACAUAAAGGAGUCUCUUGAGCAUGUGGGCAGUAGAGUUUCAGUGGAUCAGAAGUUCAUGCUUCACUGAAUGCAUUGGCAAGUUGGUGACCAUCUGUAACAUAUUCCAGAAUUUUGUUUUACACUGAAACACUGAAUAAAUUAAAUUUCAGAUUUCCAAACAGAUAAAAUGGUGUUCUGCAGAAUCCUUCAUUAAAUCAGACUCAAUUAAAAAAUAUUAGUUCUAUCAAACCAUACUAUUUACAACAAAUUCUCUUGGCUUGGGGAAGCAUGUCCCAGAACAACUUCUACAACAGAAGAAUCAAGAUCUCCAGACCUGCGCAACUCCUUUCGCUAUGUAGGCCCCUGAGAAACAACAAGCAUGGAGAAU